AGAUGUGACUUGCUCUGUUGUCCAGACUUGAGUGCAGUAGCUCAAUCAUAGCUCACUGCAGCCUUGAAUUCCGGGCUACCACGCCCAGCUUGUUACUGUAUUUUUGAAUGUCUGAAGUGAAGAAUGAAUCUAAGUGGGGACUGCUUGGCUCGGACAUUCAGUUACAUCCACAGCACAGAGAAACUGAGGAUUCUUUGUUGAUGAGGUGCGUUUUGCAGGAGGGGACGGUGUUGAGUUCCAAACAGGUGAGGUAUUGCACACUAGCAAACACAUGAGAAGAAGGCGGAACAAUUGGGAGAAAAAUAAAAAGAAUGCAGCAGGCCAGGUUAGCAGGAACAUUAAGACGGUGACAGAGAACAGCAAAGCCUGGCAGCAAGCCGCCGUGGAGAAGGAAGAACUGUGCUGGGUACUUCACUCUGUUGCCCAGGCUGGAGUGCAGCGGCACAAUCACAGCUCACUGCAGUUUCAACUUCCUGGGUUCAAGUGAUCCUCCUGCCUGAGCCUCCCAAGUAGCUAGGACUAUAGCAGUUCAUUUCUGAAAGUUACCUCCACCUGAAUAGCUCAAGCAUUGUGACAGCUGUGAUACAGGACUCAUGGAAACUGGGACAAGUGAUCAAAAAUGUCUGAGGGAGGAACAAUAGAGGGGACAUUUUAAAGGACUGUUACUUCAUAGUUUAUCCGGGGCAGAGAACAACAGCGGGCUACUCUCAAACCUGCUCUGGAGUUUCAGACUAGCAGCUGACAUUUUUGGGGACCUUUCUUUAAGCUUGACAUUGUAAACACUUUGUAUGUAUUAACCCACUUAAUCCUCGAAACAACCUUGAUGAGUAGGUAUCCUUAUCUUACGGAAGAGGAAGCUGAAGCACAGACAGGAUUAGUGACUUACCUAAGGUCACAGUGCUGGAAGGUAGCCGAGCUGGAAUUUGAACCCAGACAGCAUGUGGGUUCAGAGUGUUUUCAUUUUUAACUACUCUGCUAUAUUACCCUCUCUAGUUUUCAGUAUUCAUAUUAGCACCUCAGCCUUCCCCAGAUGACUACAAAUCCCAUACAUAUGUAUAUACACACAUACCCAGGGUCAUUCAUGAAAUCUGAAACUUCGGGUGUUCAAUUUGACUUUAUAGAACCUUCUACCUCUCCUGGCUGAUAGUAUCUCUUUCUCAUUUCACAAAUUAAACUUCCUAUAACACUACCUUAAACAUGCCACCCCUGCUCAAAAUACCCUGGUGGCUUCCUAUGAUCUAUAAGAUGAAAGCUAACUUCCUUAGCUUGCCAUGCAAGGCCCUUCACAGUCUUUCCAGUCUUACUGUUUAUUCUAUCCCUACUUGAGCACAAAGCAUUUUUUUCUUUGAUCAUGCAUAGUCCUUCUUUCUUCAUUUUUUUAAGUGUACAAUUCAGUGGAUUUUAGUAUAUUCAGUGUUAUGCAACCAUCUCCACUAUCUAAUGCCAGAACAUUUUCAUCUCCGCUAUCUAAUGCCAGAACAUUAGAAACCCUGUACCGCAUAGCGGCCAUUCCCAAUUCACCCUUCCUCUUAUCCCCUAGCAACCACCAAUCUAUUUUCUGUCUUUACGAAUUAGCUUAUUCUGGGUAUUUCAUAUAAAUGGAAUCAUACAAUAUGUGGCCAUUUGUGUCUGGCUUGUUUCAUGUCACAAUUUUUCAAGGUUCAUCUGUGUCGCAGCAUGUGAUCAGGAUUUCAUUGUUUUCUUAUGGCUGAAUAACAUUCCAUUGUGUGGAUAUAACAUUUUGUGUAUUCAUUCAAUUUGUCCCAACUGGUGGACAAUUGGGUUGUUUCCACUUUUGGCUAUUAUAAUAAAGCUAUGAACAUUUGUGUAC